CUUAACCCCUCUCGGAGUUCUGCUCUUCUUGUGCUUGAUCUCGCCAAGUGCUGAGAUCCAACAUGCCGAGGCAGAUUAUGGAAAUUAAGGACUUCCUCCUUACCGCGAGGAGGAAGGACGCAAGAUGUG